GACGAACGCUGGCGGCGUGCUUAACACAUGCAAGUCGAACGGAAAGGCCCUGCUUUUGUGGGGUGCUCGAGUGGCGAACGGGUGAGUAACACGUGAGUAACCUGCCCUUGACUUUGGGAUAACUUCAGGAAACUGGGGCUAAUACCGGAUAGGAGCUCCUGCUGCAUGUUGGGGGUUGGAAAGUUUCGGCGGUUGGGGAUGGACUCGCGGCUUAUCAGCUUGUUGGUGGGGUAGUGGCUUACCAAGGCUUUGACGGGUAGCCGGCCUGAGAGGGGGACCGGCCACAUUGGGACUGAGAUACGGCCCAGACUCCUACGGGAGGCAGCAGGGGGGAAUAUUGCACAAUGGGCGGAAGCCUGAGGCAGCAACGCCGCGUGCGGGAUGAAGGCCUUCGGGUUGUAAACCGCUUUCGCCUGUGACGAAGCGUGAGUGACGGUAAUGGGUAAAGAAGCACCGGCUAACUACGUG
rnacentral:rRNA from 1 species